rnacentral:rRNA from 1 species
GUGGAUUAGAUACCCUGGUAGUCCACACCGUAAACGUUGGGCGCUAGGUGUGGGGCCUAUUCCAUGGGUUCCGUGCCGCAGCUAACGCAUUAAGCGCCCCGCCUGGGGAGUACGGCCGCAAGGCUAAAACUCAAAGGAAUUGACGGGGGCCCGCACAAGCGGCGGAGCAUGCGGAUUAAUUCGAUGCAACGCGAAGAACCUUACCUGGGUUUGACAUAUGCCGGAAAGCUCUAGAGAUAGAGCCCCUUUUAGUCGGUAUACAGGUGGUGCACGGUUGUCGUCAGCU